GUCGAUUCUAGUGAGUUCUGUGCAGCAGUAGGGACUGAGAAUAUAAAAAGAGACAACACUUCACAGAUGUGGGUAAUUUCAGAAAAGUGGAGACGAGGAGGGGGCAGGCUGUGGGGCCUGAGGAAAGCAUCACUACUAUAGUCAGGGACACCUGAAGCUUCCAUACGCUUUGCAGACUCAUUCAUGUGGGGAAGCACACAUCUUCUUUCUGUGUUUACUCUUCCAGAUUCUCCCUCCCACUUGGGAACUUCUCCGGCUGGAUUUUAAAGCUGUGGUUUUAAAGCUGGCCCCUCGGACCUCAGCAGAUUGGUUUGAUCAUGACGGUUCCCAAGACAAUGACUACACAAAGCAGAGCAGAAAUGAGAUAUUUCUAGUGUAAGCAACAUUUUAGUAAAGAAGACGAAUUGGGGUGAGUGGACCCCAACUUCUUGAAAUUGGAAGUCUACCUGGUUGAGAUUCACUGGAUAGUUAUCUCUCGACUGCCUUUGGCCACAGAAAGGCCCAUAGCUGUAGUUCAGAGAAAGCGAAACCCAGCGAAAAGGAUCCCAUCAUAAAUCAUAAGCCGGAAAGUUUGCUGACCCCUGACGUGAGUCCACAAGUUCCUAGAGCUUCGAGGAGCUUCGCUGGCCUCUCUGUGAGCAAUCUCUGAUGGGAGAAGGAAGAGAGUGUGGAGGACGUCGUGGGAGGUGUUAGGACCAGGCCUGGAGAAGCUGUCUGUGCCUGGUGUCUGCGCCCCUUUGGGCAGAACACAAUCCAUGGCUGUAGCUACCUGCCAGGGAGAACAGGAAAUCAGGCCAGCUCUGGGGCUGGGAGGAAAAGGAAUCUGGCUGAUGAAAAUGCAGGUGUCCCAAGGCACACGAGGUUAACUGCUGGAAGAAUUAAAGAGGCAGUCGUUAAAGAGUUCAGGAAAAGGCCAGAGCACUUCAGUCUGAGCUUGGGAGGCUAUCACGGUGGUUUCCCAGAAGAGGUGGAAGUCUGAUCGUCAGUCAUGAAGAGGGUGGGAAAAGCAGCUCCUGCGUGUUCCGGAAGGCCUCCAGCUACUUCAGAGCCUGCGCCUCUCCCCGUGUCCUUCUCCGCCCAGUUCAGAACGUUCCCAGCACUUUGGUGCUCACAGGUCUCAGACUCAAGGUCAGGACACUUUUCACAAGCCCUUCAUAGAAGACUUUCCUUGCAUCCCUCAGGCUGCUGAAAACACAGGAUUUGCCCUUUAUUAUCCAGUUCUUUAGCACAUAAUGUAAGUCUGACAGUGACAAUUCUAUGCUAUUCAUCUUCAUUAUCAGACUUUGUUCUUGAGUCUCUCACUGGCUGCGUUUCAGAAAUGAAAUAAGCCACUCUCCCUUCAGGUCUUGAUUCUGGCUAAGAGGAGGUUCCCAGCUCAGGUGGACACAUCCGUCUCCUGGUGCCUCACCGUGGGCAUGUCCGUGCCCUGUUCCGGGAGAGAAGCUCGGCUGUUCGAGUCUCCCUAUGUAACAGAGUUUUCAAGAGUGUAAACAACCAUCUGGUUUCUUCCUACAGAAAGAGACAAGAAAAUAUUUCUGGGAGUCGUGAAUAUUCUACUUCUCAAACAUUUCUUUGAGCUUCUUUUUCUUUUUGUUGUAUAUUUCAUGGGGAGUUUUCAAUUCUGAAUAAUAAUAUAUGUUUGUCUCAUGAGAACAACCUGAGUUGCAAAUACUCAUUUUUAAGCUUCUCUGCUUAGAGCAAUCAGUUUCAUAAAUUAUGCAUCUGUUACGUGAUAUGCAUUUUCCAACAGGUAGUCUAAAGCCAUCCCACGUGAAUGCUCAUUUUCACAUUAAAGUUAGAAGAUGCCUGGAAGCCUGAUUUUCUGCCUUUUUUUUUUUUGGCUGAGAGGCAGAUACUCUUCUUUUGAAAACCUUAUUUAUUCCUGAUGGGAAGUUUUAUUUCUAUCUUCAGAAACAUCAUUUUAGAUUUGUGUAAUCAGUUCAGCAAACUGCUGCUUAAAGUGAUAAAUAACUAUCAAAUUAAACUUGCAAUUAAAGUUUACUAAAAAUAUAGGUUGCUAUAAUUUUGUUGGUGAUAGAUGUACAGAAGUAGACAUGAUUAAUGAUGAUUACUAAUUAUGCAGCUGUGUGCACAGCAUACAAGUCUCAGAACCAUGGGUUGGCAGCUAAAUAAGAGCUUCAUCCUCGGGAAGCCUCUGUUUCUAGUCAGCUCGUUUCUAGUCAGGACUUUAACACCCCCUCCACCUGCUGUCCCUUAGCUCGACAAAGACACCCAGAAAAACAGAGCUGAAUGGCCACCUCAUCUCUCCUUUCCUUUGUUGUUGUUUUGUUGACUCUUAGAUUCGAGUCUAAAAACAAAUGCCAUCAAUGAGAGAAAUGAUCAGAUAUUAAUAAUGGUAUAGAGGGAAUCAUCUUGUUAAAAUUCUGACUUCUUUCUUUCCUAAAUUUUGGAUGACUUGUCUUGGCAUUUCAUAUUAAAGAUGACUCAGUGGUGAGGCUAAUGGAAAUCACUAUAAAGUAAAAUCCUUAAUAUUUGACUUACUGACAGAAGACCUGGGUUUGAUGACUUCCUCUGUAACUUGAAAUAAGGAAACCUACGAAUUAGAUACCUCUCAAAUUUUUUUCCUUUUUUUUGAGGAAGAUUAGCCCUGAGCUAACAUCUGCCAC